AUGGCUUUGUUUGAUCAUUUCCAUCAAGGAAAACUUGAUGUUAAAUGCCUUAAUUAUGGGAUCGUUACCCUUCUCCCGAAAGUGUCUAGUGCUAAGAGAAUCCAGCAGUUCAGGCCUAUAUGUCUCCUUAGAUGUCCUUACAAACUCAUCACUAAGGUGCUCGAUCGCAGAGUUGCUGUGUAUGCUGAUAAACUAAUUAUUCUCACUCAAAAUGCUUUUGUGAAAGGAAGAAAUAUCAUGGAUGGAGUGCUUUCUCUCCAUGAGAUACUCAACUACACGCAUGUAAAGAAAAGAGUGGGGGUUGUUCUUAAACUAGAUUUUGAAAAGGCAUACGACGAAGUUAACUAG
rnacentral:rRNA from 1 species